rnacentral:rRNA from 1 species
GACGAACGCUGGCGGCGUGCUUAACACAUGCAAGUCGAGCGGUAAGGCCCUUUCGGGGGUACACGAGCGGCGAACGGGUGAGUAACACGUGGGUGACCUGCCCUCAGCUCUGGGAUAAGCCUGGGAAACUGGGUCUAAUACUGGAUAUGACUCCACGGUGCAUGUCGUGGGGUGGAAAGCCUUGUGCGGCUGAGGAUGGGCCCGCGGCCUAUCAGCUUGUUGGUGGGGNGAUGGCCUACCAAGGCGACGACGGGUAGCCGGCCUGAGAGGGCGACCGGCCACACUGGGACUGAGACACGGCCCAGACUCCUACGGGAGGCAGCAGUGGGGAAUCUUGCGCAAUGGGCGAAAGCCUGACGCAGCGACGCCGCGUGAGGGAUGACGGCCUGGUUGUAAC